UACGAAGGGGGGCUAGCGUUGCUCGGAAUCACUGGGCGUAAAGCGCACGUAGGCGGACUUUUAAGUCAGGGGUGAAAUCCUGGAGCUCAACUCCAGAACUGCCUUUGAUACUGAGGAUCUUGAGUUCGGGAGGGGUGAGUGGAACUGCGAGUGUAGAGGUGAAAUUCGUAGAUAUUCGCAAGAACACCAGUGGCGAAGGCGGCUCACUGGCCCGGUACUGACGCUGAAGUGCGAAAGCGUGGGGAGCAAACAGGG
rnacentral:rRNA from 1 species